rnacentral:tRNA from 1 species
GGGGCAUUAGCAUAAUGGUAAUGCAUGCAGAUUUCGAUCCUGUAGACUAGGGGUUCAAAUCCCCUAUGCUCCACCA